UACGUAGGGUCCGAGCGUUGUCCGGAUUUAUUGGGCGUAAAGAGCUCGUAGGCGGUUCCGUAAGUCAGAUGUGAAAACUCAGGGCUCAACCCGGAGACGCCAUCUGAUACUGCGGUGACUGGAGUCUGGUAGGGGAACACGGAAUUCCUGGUGUAGCGGUGAAAUGCGCAGAUAUCAGGAGGAACACCGAUGGCGAAGGCAGUGUUCUGGGCCAGUACUGACGCUGGGGAGCGAAAGCGUGGGGAGCAAACAGG
rnacentral:rRNA from 1 species